ACUGCUCAGUAACACGUGGACAACCUGCCCUUAGGUUGGGUAUAAACCCGGGAAACUGGGUAUAAUACCCGAUAGGUCUCGAUUGCUGGAAUGCAUCGAGAUUUAAAGCUCCGGCGCCUAAGGAUGGGUCUGCGGCCUAUCAGGUAGUAGUGGGUGUAGCGUACCUACUAGCCUACGACGGGUACGGGUUGUGUGAGCAAGAGCCCGGAGAUGGAUUCUGAGACACGAAUCCAGGCCCUACGGGGUGCAGCAGGCGCGAAAACUUUACAAUGCUGGCAACAGCGAUAAGGGAACCUCGAGUGCCAGGUUACAAAUCUGGCUGUCGAGAUGCCUAAAAAGCAUUUCAUAGCAAGGGCCGGGCAAGACCGGUGCCAGCCGCCGCGGUAACACCGGCGGCUCGAGUGGUAACCGUUAUUAUUGGGUCUAAAGGGUCUGUAGCCGGCCGGAUAAGUCUCUUGAGAAAUCUGGCAGCUUAACUGUCAGGCUUUCAGGAGAUACUGUCUGGCUCGAGGCCGGGAGAGGUGAGAGGUACUUCAGGGGUAGGGGUGAAAUCUUGUAAUCCUUGAAGGACCACCAGUGGCGAAGGCGUCUCACCAGAACGGACCUGACGGCAAGGGACGAAAGCUAGGGGCACGAACCGGAUUAGAUACCCGGGUAGUCCUAGCCGUAAACGAUACUCGCUAGGUGUCGGCCACGGUGCGACCGUUGUCGGUGCCGUAGGGAAGCCGUGAAGCGAGCCACCUGGGAAGUACGGCCGCAAGGCUGAAACUUAAAGGAAUUGGCGGGGGAGCACCACAACGGGUGGAGCUUGCGGUUUAAUUGGAUUCAACGCCGGAAAUCUUACCGGGACCGACAGCAAUAUGAAGGCCAGGCUGAAGACUUUGCCGGAUUAGCUGAGAGGUGGUGCAUGGCCGUCGUCAGUUCGUACUGUGAAGCAUCCUGUUAAGUCAGGCAACGAGCGAGACCCGCACC
rnacentral:rRNA from 1 species